rnacentral:rRNA from 1 species
AUUGAACGCUGGCGGCAUGCCUUACACAUGCAAGUCGAACGGCAGCACGGGUGCUUGCCCCUGGUGGCGAGUGGCGAACGGGUGAGUAAUACAUCGGAACAUGUCCUGUAGUGGGGGACAGCCCGGCGAAAGCCGGAUUAAUACCGCAUACGAUCUACGGAUGAAAGCGGGGGACCUUCGGGCCUCGCGCUAUAGGGUUGGCCGAUGGCUGAUUAGCUAGUUGGUGGGGUAAAGGCCUACCAAGGCGACGAUCAGUAGCUGGUCUGAGAGGACGACCAGCCACACUGGGACUGAGACACGGCCCAGACUCCUACGGGAGGCAGCAGUGGGGAAUUUUGGACAAUGGGCGAAAGCCUGAUCCAGCAAUGCCGCGUGUGUGAAGAAGGCCUUCGGGUUGUAAAGCACUUUUGUCCGGAAAGAAAUCCUUGGCUCUAAUACAGUCGGGGGAUGACGGUACCGGAAGAAUAAGCACCGGCUAACUACGUG